rnacentral:lncRNA from 1 species
ACAGGGAUGAAGGAAAUGGACUUGUUCAAUUCCGAAGGGCCCAAGUGCUGGGAUUAUAGGGGUGCACCACCACCCCCAGCAGGAAUCUGUGUUUUCAACAAAUAUACCUGGGACAUCAGAGGAAGAAAAGAGGAGCCAAGAAUCAGCAGGCUCCAGUGGAUCCAGCUGUGUGCACAGGACAGCUUUCCUGACUCGUGUGCCUCCCUCAGCCAACACCUCAUUUCUUUCCCCAUUUGCAGUAUGUUUUUAAGGUGCAUUGGUGUCUUUCUUCUGUGGCCUGGUAGCCAGUCAGAGGGGACACAAGAUCUGGAGGGCAAGGCAAGCUCCCUCACUGCCCUACCACAGCUGCCC